GCCUCCUCGGGCUCCACGCGUCUUGCCCCGCAGAGGCAGCCUCCUCCAGGAGCGGGGCCCUGCACACCAUGGCCCCCGGGUGGGCAGGGGUCGGCGCCGCCGUGCGCGCCCGCCUGGCGCUGGCCUUGGCGCUGGCGAGCGUCCUGAGUGGGCCCCCAGCCGUCGCCUGCCCCACCAAGUGUACCUGCUCCGCUGCCAGCGUGGACUGCCACGGGCUGGGCCUCCGCGCGGUUCCUCGGGGCAUCCCCCGCAACGCUGAGCGCCUUGACCUGGACAGAAAUAAUAUCACCAGGAUCACCAAGAUGGACUUCGCUGGGCUCAAGAACCUCCGAGUCUUGCAUCUGGAAGACAACCAGGUCAGCGUCAUCGAGAGAGGCGCCUUCCAGGACCUGAAGCAGCUAGAGCGACUGCGCCUGAACAAGAAUAAGCUGCAAGUCCUUCCAGAAUUGCUUUUCCAGAGCACGCCGAAGCUCACCAGACUGCCCAGUGUGGAACUCUGUUGGAUAGCACUAGACAGAAAUCACAUCCCUCCUACAGGAUUUCUACAAAGCACGUGUUCCUGGAGCAACUAUAUGAGGAAGAUGGAGAAGGCCUAGAAAAUUUGGUCCCUGUUGCCUUUGAGACUUGCACCAUCACCCUGCAACUGAGCACUCUGACCAAAUAUCAAGAUCAACUGUGCUUUCUGAAAGAUCAAAUUAAGUCUAAUUUUAAAUGAGACAAAAGGUAGCACUCUUUUUAUAUUCCUACUUAAGAAGAUAUCCUUCUUGGUUCUGUUCCAUUUUGCACAUGGAGUAGUUUUAAAGAGCCACAUCCAAGGCUGGAUUUGAAAGCUGAUGAACGUAGCUAUGAAGAGCUUUAUGAUGAAAAGGGUUAUUACUGGCCUCCCAUCCAUUGGCUUAUCUUUUUUUAUACUUUAAGUAAUGUGACAAAUGAGGGUUCUGAUAGGAUUGUCUUUGGUGUGGUUUCAUGAG
rnacentral:sRNA from 1 species